AAAGUAGCUGCCUUAGGGAUGUGAAGUUGUCCUCACGUGGGAGCUAAUUGCUUGAAACAGCUUGAUGAGACACUGGAGAUGUGCUUGAGCCUCCCUUCCUCGCAGUGGCACUAAUGACAAAGUCCUGCCUUCAGCCCCAGCCAUGCUGCGGGCCUCUGUGAAAACCUGAACUGCUCCUUCCCAAGCUGGUGCAGCCAGAUGUCUAAACAAGAGCAGAGGUUACACUUCCCUCCCGAGCACUUGUCUGAGCAGCCUC